GUCUAUAGCCAUGCUACCCGGAACGAGCCCAAUCCUAUCAGAUCUUGGAAGCUAAGAAGGGUCGGGCCUUCUUAGUACUGGUUAGUACUUGGAUGGGAAGACCAGGUGCUGCAGGCA
ensembl:rRNA 5S_rRNA 5S ribosomal RNA